ACUAUUAUAAAUGGGGUCUUUUCUCUCAUUACAUCUUCUUACUGGAUAUAAUCAACACAUUAUAGUGUCUUCAUUUUGUACCAUUCUGUGUUAUGAAGUUUUCUUAUUGUGUAUAGAUAUUUCCCAAUGCUCUUGUACUUCUAACCAUAUAAUAACAUCCAUCUAAAACAUAAAGAUGAACUCUGCUUUCAAUUUUUAAUACUUUUAAUUUCCGUCUUUUCUGAUUUCAUUGGUUAUUAGAUACAAUGCUUUAAAUGACAGUAGUGAUAAUAGACGUUUUUGCCUUAUAUUUGAUUUUAAUGGGGAAAUGCCUCCAGGGAUUUCUUCAGUAAGUGUGGGGUGUGCUUUGGACUGAGAAUAACAUAUUUUAUGAUGCUAAGGAAAUAUUAAUUUAUUAUUAUUUUAUUGAGGGCUUUUUUGGGUCAAGUAUCAUUAUUGGCUUUGGUCCAAAUGUCUUUUUUAAAAAGUAUCUUUAGAAAUGAUCAUAUGGGAGUUCCCGUUGUGGCUCAGUGGUAAAGAACCCGACUAGGAUCCAUGAGGAUGUGGGUUCGAUCCUGGACUCACUCAGUGGGCCAGGGAUUGAACCGGCAACCUCAUGGUUCCUAGUCGGAUUCGUUAACCACUGAGCCACGACAGGAACUCCAGUCACACUCCUUAGAUCUAUUAAUUUGAUCAAAUAUAAUACAUUUCCUAGUAGUGCCUUCCUAUACUAUCCUUGCAUUCCUGUAAUGAACUCCUCUUAUCCAUGGCAUUUUCUUGUACUUUUUUGGUUGCACUCUCAGUAUGUGGAAGUUCCCAGGCCAGGGAUAGAAUCCAAGCUGCAGCUGUGACCUAUGCCACGGCUGCAGCAAUGCUGGAUCCUUAACUGAACGGGACUGGGGACUGAACUGGUGCCACCACAGAAACAAGCCAGAUCAGUAAUCCACUGUGCUAUAGCAGGAACUCCAUGGUCAUUAAAUUUUGAUGUGCUUGUAGAUGCCAUUUGCUAAUAUUUUGUUUAGAAUUUUUGCAAAGUUAUUCAUUGAGAUUUUGGCAAUUUUUUGGGUGCUAUUACAUAGUGAUCAAAGAGUAUUACCUAUAAUGUUUCUAUAUUUUGGGAUUGAUUGACUUUCAUUGUGGCCUAAUUUAUGGACAAUCUUUAUGCAUGUUCCUUGGUCACUCAAAAAAAACAGUGCUGUCUAUAUUUUCAGGAUGUAGACUUGAAUAAUGUAUAUUUCAUUAGUGAUGUUAUAUAUGGCUUCUUUGAACUUCAAAUAUUUUGACUUGAUUUAUAAUGGACAAGGGUUUUCAUUUAUGCAUAUUUCUCCAUGCAUCUGCUGUAAUUUCUGCCCUAUAAGGGUGGUUGCUAUGUUGUUUGGUGAAUAUAUAUUCAUAAUUGACACAGAAUCAUUUUGAGUUUGUUUGUUUUUCUUUUUACGGCUGCACCUGCAGCAUAUGGAAGCUUCCAGGCUAGGGGCUGGGGGUCGAAUCAGAGCUACAGCUGCAGGCCACAGCCACAGCCACAGCCAUGGCAAAUUCCAGCUGCAUCCACCAACCUAUGCUUCAGCUUGUGGCAAUGCCAGAUCCUUAAUCCACUGAGCAAGGCCAGAGAUUGAACCCACAUCCUCAGGGACACUGUUGGGUGUUUAACUUGCUGAGCCACAACAGGAACGCCUGUGUUUUGAGUUUUAUUGUUUGGCAUGACGAAGUGCCCCUUAACUUGUUACAUGUAUUUGUUGGCUUGCAUUGCACCUUGGUCAGGUCACAGCCUGACUUCACAUUCAGUUCCCUCUUCCUGGUACGUCUCUCCUCUCUGCUUUCUGAGUCACUGUGAUCUGUGUGUCUCAUGGACAGGAUUCCACUUGCGAUACCAUCCCCUGUCUCCAGCCUGCUCACUGCUUCCUGCACCUGCUGGCACCAAAGGAGGGCUGUGGCUUUCUGUGCCUGCCCUCCAGGUGACCCUCAUCCUCAGGGAGAGGACUUUUUUCUGGGUGCUCUGUGAGGUCCCUACAGAUAGUCUGCUUACGAGUGUCCCCACAUGCUGCUUCAUGAACAAAAUGCUUGCAUCUGUCAGCAAGGCUCGUGAUUCCAGUGUUGUUUACUCUAAUAGAGCUCAGGUAGACAUCAGCUUUUAGAAUGAUGAUUUUGGCGGUGGGACAGUUGAUGCCUCACUUGGGCAGCCUGACCCACUAUCCCUCUGACCCUCUGGACCACACUGAGUUUGCAGAGCAGGGAUCCUGUGACACAGACUGAGAGGGUGGGGUCAGGUUUCUCAGGAUGUCACUUCCUCCUCCUUUCCUACACAGGUAGGGGACAAUACAGCCCUCAGGUCCACUGCAGAGGGGCCCAUGUGUAGGGAGAGAUGCUUGCCUGGGUCCCAAAGGCAGAGCUUCAGUUUAUAAGAAGUGGGGUGAUGGCAGGUUUAGCUCACUUCUGAAAGUGCUAAUGUUGUUGAACCCUGGAGGGUUUCCUUAGUGGAACUGCUUUUCUGGGGAAACUUUAAAGUCAAAGAGACCCUUCUCUCGUGAGGACAGCAUGGUGCAGGGCUGCCCCCGGCUCGGGGGUCUGGAUAAACGGCAGUGCCUCCUCCUCUGGAAUGUUCAGAUAGAACACUCCGGGUCCAGAUGAGUCAUUUUCAAACUUAGGCCCCAGAACGAUGAUCAGUCAGGAGAUUGUACUCAAUGAUGUGCAGAUUUAAAGACACACAGUGGUGAUGUGACUAGAUGCUCCGUCAUGAGAAAGCGAAGGCAGGACCCGGAAUCUGCACAGCAACGCUACUUGUCUUUCGGGCUUAGGGAUGGAAGACUACAGUCAGCUUUGAAUUGCCAUUUGUUAAAAGAAACACAAGAAUGUCCACAUUUCUCUUUCUGGGAGGAAAGAGAAAAGGUAAGUGGGGAAACGUGUGGCAAUCUUUUGCACCGAGACAUGGAAGGAUUGUGUUCCCUUCUGACCAGAAAUUGCCAAGUUGUUUCCAGAUUCAACAUCUGAAUCAUGCCCGCUGGGGGGACACUGUUUGAGCAAGACGGGGAUUCUGAACAUUCUUGGAGGCCUCGUAAAAGCCCUGGAAUGAUGGCAAAGGCUUGUGUUGUGGUCACGUAAAGAAAAGCCCCCUCGUGAUGGGAUCGAGUUUGUGGGUUGUGUGUUUACAGUUUCAGCAGCAGAGGGGUGCGGAGCUUGGCAUGGGAGCAGCUGGGAGGUGGGGCUGAGCCAGGGAUGAGCCAAGUGGGGUGCCUGUGGGACCAGAGGACAGCAUCUGAGGGCUGGGGGGUUGUUUACAAAGCAGACUCUUCCUCAGGCCCCAGGGUGGGGGAGUGGCUGGCAGGACACUUUGCCACCCUUGUCAGGGCACCGUGUCACCACGGGAGCUUGGCUCCACGAAGGCUCUGAAAGCCCACUCAAGUCAACUCAGGGAGCCUGUGUUUGCAGGGCUGAAGCGUCCCUCUCUUUGCCUGCCCAGGACUCUGGGGCAUGAAUUCAGGGUGGUCAGCUCCUGGGAAACAAGGCGGGUCCAAGGCCACUGGAAUUUUCAGCCAGGCCGCGCACCCACCACCUCAUGGGAUGACAGACCUUUGGAGCCACACUUGCCAAGAGGGGCUGGCAGGUGGCAGAAGAGAUAUUCCUUUCACCGCCUGUGAGAUUUUUAUGCAGUUGGGAGAGGGACUGAGACACCAAAACAAGGAAAUAGGGAAAUACCGUCUCUGCAUAAUUGCUAAAGUUGGACCUGGAUUUCAGAUAAAAAGGCAUGUUUUCCUGAACAGCGGAGCAUGAUGUAAGCAAACGAGAGAACAGUGUCUUGUCCAGGUCCUAGGCCCGGGGGGGAGGGGGGAGGGUGGGAAGGCCGACGGGGGGAACAGGGGCCAGCAUCCUGCCCCAUCGUUCUGCUCUGAGCUCAUGGCUGCUCCAGGUUGGGCCACAGCUCUUUACCUGGAGUCUAAGAAAUUGCUCCCUCUCCCCAGAAAUAAGCUUCCAACAGGUAAUUGUAGGACAGUGACAGUGGCGGGUGAGCAAGCUGUGAGUCUUGUUGUGAUGAGGGCAGUGUCAUAAGACAGGGUUGCAGGCAUGCCAUUAGCCAUUCACUCAACCUAGCAUUACUCUGUUUAUUGGGAACCAGCCUCUGCCCCAUCAUCAGAGCAAAGACCCAGGCCUCAAUUUUCAGAGUUUAGCAGUGGCCAGGAAGGGGAAAAACACAACAAAAUGAACCCAUGUGCCUUUGAAACAGCAGCAGAAUAAUUAAGUGUGUCCGUGCUGGUCUGAAGUGUGGUUCUCAAGCUGAGUGCAUCUGAAUCAAAGGAAGAAAUGCAGGUUCCUGGGCCCACCCUGGGACUCAGAGGGUCAGGGCUGGGUCGGGGUGGGGAGGUGUCUUUAAACCAGUAUCCUCUGUGAAUAAUGGAAAUGCGGCUCAAAAUCAACUCUGAGACUCAAGAGGCUAGAACAUGAUAUGCCUCCCUUUUCUUAUCUCCUUAGGGCCACACCCAGGCUUAUGGAGGUUCCUUGGCUAGGGGUCGAAUUGGAGCUGCAGCUGCCUGCCUACACCACAGCCACAGCAACGCAGCAUCUGAGCUGCAUCUGUGCCCUACACCACAUCUCACGGCAAUGCCGGAUCCUUAACCCACUGAGCAAGGGCAGGGAUCGAACCCUCAAGCUAGGAUCGAUCGCAUCGCAUCAUCACGGAUACUCGUCAGGAUGGUAACCUGCUGAGCCACAACAGGAACUCCUGCUAGCACGUUAUUAAAGAAGAGGUGGGACGAAAGUAACACCGGGUGUGGGCUUCACACACACACACACACACACACACACGCACACGUCAUUUACUUCUAAUGCAGACCUGGGGGCAGGCACCCACACUUUAGCAGGGAAUCUGGUCACGGUCAGCAGCUGAGGUCUGCACUAUUCUCCUGACCAGUGUGUGCCCUUCGUGAGAUGGAGCGAGUUGGGGAGGAGGAGGCGACACAGCUGGGGAUGAGCCAAUCCCUGCCCCGGCAACUCCCCAGCCUCUACGCGGCCCCCAGUGCUGUCCCCCAGCUGUAGAAGGACAGGCACAUUACACCAGUGUCUCUAGGACCCUGCAGCUUACUGUUUUCACUGAGCUGUAUAACUCAGACAUCUUUCUGGGUGGGUUUCCUGACUUUUUGCCCGUUGGAAGACAGUUAUUUUGGAACUGCCAUUCUUGCAGCAAAGAACCAAAGUAUCAUUAAUCAAGGGUGCUGACUGCAUCGUUAGCUGGGGUGGUUUGUGGCUUGGAGUCUGCUGAUUUUUGUCCUGUUCUGGGGCAGCUGUACAUUUCACCAGCUCGUCCUACUGGACAUCAAUGCCACGAGCCGGGGAAGCAUGUGGUGGGCCUGCAGCUCAGCACCACCUGGGGGCCAAGACCUCACCCAGCCCACUGCCUCAUCCCUAAGCCCCAGGGCCUUGGGUUACAGUGGAAGCUCAGGCUUUAGGAUGCUGGCAGAAGAGGCCAGGGUGGCCCAGACUCCAGGAUUCUGUUUAAGGAAUCCACUAGUAGCAAGAACUUGCAGGUGUCAGGUGCAUCCUGACCAGGCCUCAGACUUGUGUAUGUCAGAUAACCCUGGGGCUUGUCAUAAAUCCUGCAGACUCUGCACUCACUCUCACCCCUUCUUAAGGCCUCACAGAGCUGAAAUGAUUCUAGGGAAGGAUCUGCAGCAUGGCGUGACAAACAGCAGAUCCCAACCUUCUCCGACUCCACCACUGCCAGUCUGAUCUACGUCCCAGACAACUGGAAUUGUCACCUUAACUCACAGGUAGGGUUGGGUCACUCUGGUUCUCCCAAGAAAGUGGCUGCCUGUUGCAGUUACACUGAAGACAAAGCCCUUUGAGUGCUCUCAGGACUUGGGGACUUGGGGACAUGCUGCUUCUCUGGGCCCCAUCUCUUCCUUUCCAGCCCCCAUCCCCAUCAACCCCCUUUCUGUUAGGGGCAUCACCUUCUCCCCACCUCAAGUCUCAGGCUCUCGCCCAGGGUGGUCCAGGUCCCAGGCCACCCCUCCCACACCUCCAUGCUGGGGCCUCUGCCUCCUUAAGACCUGCUCAUGGGCCACUGGGCAUCCAGGUGGCUGUGCUGGGUCACCAGUGAGAUCCGCACCACUGUGCCUUCUGGACACCCGAACGUGGAUGUGGGGCAAUGUGAGCACAGGGUUUUCUGAGCAAGGAUUUAUGGGGACCUGAAAGACGGUGCAGUGGGACUCUGCUCAGUGUGACGCUCGUGAGUGAACACGUGCUUCACACUGACCAGGGUCUGCCUUGGAGGGAAGGAUGUGCUUGUGGCUGGGCCAAGGUGGCAGAUAGCACGUCACCUGUCACUGGGGAGCCCAGUGUCACCUAGGAUCCUAGUGUCACAUGGAAGCCUGGUGUCACCUGGGACCCUGGUGUCACAUGGGAGCCCAGGGUCAAUUGGGAGCCUAGUGUCACAUAGGAGCCCAGUGUCAUCCGGGAGCCUCACCAUGGAGGGAGUGUGGCCCCCUCCCCAGCCGCUCACACACCUUUUAUUUGGAAGAGAUUCUGCCUUUUCUCCUAAUAUACGAGUACGUCUGAACUUUCAAAACUUUUUCAUCUCACACAAUGAAAGAGUUAAAGAGUGACUGUUGACUACUUCUGAGAGGCAUCCACAUAGUUGGUGGAUCACCUGUAAGAACUGGCCAGCAUGGCCUUGAAAAGCCAGCAUCUGCACAUGGAACCACCCAGGCUCUGACCCCCAUCCUUCCAGGAGCUGGGUUGCCAGGCACAGGCAGACCUGCUUUAUGCUGCUGCUCCCCAGGUGUGUGGCUUGUAGCCUGGAUCCCCAGUACAACUGUUCACGCC
rnacentral:lncRNA from 1 species